UAUCUAUGGAGGCACUCGGCCAUACUGUGGGUUGUGUAAGCGAACCUUAGACGCGAGUCGUCGGUGGUGUGGCGUGAGGGCGGGUUGAAUGCCCA
rfam:Halobacillus sp. BBL2006 cont619, whole genome shotgun sequence.